GGAGGGUAUAGCUCAGUGGUAGAGUGCCUGCUUAGCAUGCAUGAGGUCCUGGGUUCAAUCCCCAGUACUUCCA
rnacentral:tRNA from 1 species